rnacentral:lncRNA from 1 species
UUCUUUCUUUUUUUUUUUUUUUUUGUUCUUUUUUUCGGAGCUGGGGACCAAACCCAGGGCCUUGCGCUUCCUAGGUAAGCGCUCUACCACUGAGCUAAAUCCCCAGCCCCUACAUUUUUUCUUUUAUAAAAUAUUUACCAGGAAAACAAAGAUAGACAUCAAGUCCAAAAUGCCUUUAUAUUUACUUACAUUAGCUACAAAUUAAAAACUAAAAUUAAAAACUUUCUUUAGCUUAAGGACAAAGAAAAUAUUUUAAAGAAUCAACGUCAGGGUUGUUUAGUUUUCUUACUUUUACUAGUUCCUUCUUGGUCUGAUGGUACAUUUGUACUUUCUUGUGUUUUUUCAAGAUCAUGUUGCAGAACCUAAAAGAGAAACAUGUUUUAAUAGCAAGACCUUAAAAUACAUGUUCCCUAUAGAAAAAAAAAAUACUAUGUGGUUUUUACCCAAGCCCAGGGCUAUAAAUCAGGAACUAUAACAGUAUCUAAAGUGUUUCAAAGAGGCUUUAGUUAACAAUUAAAAAAUGGGUAACUAAAACCAUUUGCUACUUAAAUAAAUACAAAAUAAUUUAAAUGACUAGACUAAAACAGAUCCUACAAGUUUUUACUAUUUUUCUUGGGAUUGUCUCUCAGAAUUAAAGAAUAUAUUUGUAACCUUUAAGUGAAUGACACAGAAAUCAGAAAGUAGAGGAAGAUGAACAAAGUUAGCGC